rnacentral:rRNA from 1 species
CCGCACGCGCGCUACACUGAUGCGUUCAACAAGUUUACAACCUUGACUGAAAAGUUUGGGUAAUCUUUUGAAUGCGCAUCGUGCUAGGGAUAGAUUGUUGCAAUUUUCAAUCUUGAACGAGGAAUUCCUAGUAAACGCAAGUCAUCAGCUUGCAUUGAUUACGU